rnacentral:rRNA from 1 species
UACGGAGGGUGCGAGCGUUAUUCGGAAUUAUUGGGCGUAAAGCGCGCGUAGGCGGUCUCUUAAGUCAGGUGUGAAAGCCCAGGGCUCAACCCCGGAACUGCAUUUGAAACUACGGGUCUUGAGUCCGGGAGAGGGAAGUGGAAUUCCUGGUGUAGAGGUGAAGUUCGUAGAUAUUAGGAGGAACAUCGGUGGCGAAGGCGGCUCCCUGGUCCGGUACUGACGCUGAGGUGCGAAAGCGUGGGGAGCAAACAGU